UACGUAGGGUGCAAGCGUUGUCCGGAAUUAUUGGGCGUAAAGAGCUCGUAGGCGGUCUGUCGCGUCUGCUGUGAAAACUCGGGGCUUAACCCCGGGCCUGCAGUGGGUACGGGCAGACUAGAGUGCGGUAGGGGAGACUGGAAUUCCUGGUGUAGCGGUGGAAUGCGCAGAUAUCAGGAGGAACACCGGUGGCGAAGGUGGGUCUCUGGGCCGUUACUGACGCUGAGGAGCGAAAGCGUGGGGAGCGAACAGG
rnacentral:rRNA from 1 species